rnacentral:rRNA from 1 species
AUGAGCAUCUCCGUGAACGGGCAGUCGGUGGUGCCGCCGGGGUUCCGGUUCCACCCGAUGGAGGAGGAGCUGCUCACCUACUACCUCACCAAGAAGGUGGCCCCGCAGCGCAUGGACCUGGACGUCAUCCGCGACGUCGACCUCACCAAGCUCGAGCCAUGGGACAUCCAAGAGCUCUGCCGGAUCGGAACAGGCCCGCAGAACGACUGGUACCUGUUCAGCCACAAGGACAAGAAAUAUCCAACGGGGACGCGCACCAACCGCGCCACGGCCGCCGGGUUCUGGAAGGCCACCGGCCGGGACAAGGCCAUCUACUCUGCCGCCGGCUCCAGCCGCAUCGGCAUGCGCAAGACCCUCGUCUUCUACAAGGGCCGCGCCCCGCACGGCCACAAGUCCGACUGGAUUAUGCACGAGUACCGCCUCGACGACGCCACAACCCCGGGAAACAACCCGGGCAACCCAGCCGCCGGCAACGCCCCCUACUACUCCGGCGCCUCAUCCCUGAUGGGCGGCGUGGCAGGGGACCAGUCGUCGGCGCAGGAGGACGGGUGGGUCAUCUGCAGGUUGUUCAAGAAGAAAACAUCGCCGUGCAGCACCUAG